rnacentral:misc_RNA from 1 species
UUUCCGUAGGUGAACCUGCGGAAGGAUCAUUAUUGGAUUUUGAAACUUCAGGCUGCUGCUGGCUCUCCUCGGAGGGCAUGUGCACGCUUGUUGUCCAUUAUUUCUCCCACUGUGCACAAAUUAUAGACCUUUCAGUAGGCCUAUGUUGUUUUUCACAAUCUCUGAAUGUAAUAGAAUGGUUUUGAAUCUUGGGAAAUACAAUACAACUUUCAGCAACGGAUCUCUUGGCUCUC